rnacentral:rRNA from 1 species
UACGUAGGGGGCUAGCGUUGUCCGGAAUCAUUGGGCGUAAAGCGCGCGUAGGCGGCCCGGUAAGUCCGCUGUGAAAGUCAAAGGCUCAACCUUUGAAUGUCAGCGGAUACUGCCGGGCUAGAGUCCGGAAGAGGCGAGUGGAACUCCUGGUGUAGCGGUGAAAUGCGCAGAUAUCAGGAGGAACACCAAUUGCGAAGGCAGCUCGCUGGGACGUUACUGACGCUGAGACGCGAAAGCGUGGGGAGCAAACAGG